UUACGGCUAUAACACUUUGAAACACCUGUUCUCGUACGAUCACCGAAGAAAAGCAAUGUCAAGCAUGGUCAGUACCUUGAUGGGUGACUUGGGAAUACCAGGUGCUGUAAG